rnacentral:rRNA from 1 species
UACGGAGGGUGCAAGCGUUAUCCGGAUUCACUGGGUUUAAAGGGUGCGUAGGUGGGUUUGUAAGUCAGUGGUGAAAUCUCCAAGCUUAACUUGGAACUGCCGUUGAUACUAUAAAUCUUGAAUGUUGUGGAGGUGAGCGGAAUAUGUCAUGUAGCGGUGAAAUGCUUAGAUAUGACAUAGAACACCAAUUGCGAAGGCAGCUCACUAACACAAAGAUUGACACUGAGGCACGAAAGCGUGGGGAGCAAACAGGA